UACGAAGGGGGCUAGCGUUGCUCGGAAUCAUUGGGCGUAAAGCGCACGUAGGCGGACCAUCAAGUCGGAUGUGAAAUCCCUCGGCUUAACCGAGGACGUGCAUUCGAAACUGAUGGCCUUGAGUACGAAAGAGGAUCGCGGAAUUCCCGGUGUAGAGGUGAAAUUCGUAGAUAUCGGGAGGAACACCAGUGGCGAAGGCGGCGAUCUGGGUCGAUACUGACGCUGAGGUGCGAAAGCGUGGGGAGCAAACAGG
rnacentral:rRNA from 1 species